rnacentral:rRNA from 1 species
AGUGAACGCUGGCGGUAGGCCUAACACAUGCAAGUCGAACGGCAGCACAGUAAGAGCUUGCUCUUACGGGUGGCGAGUGGCGGACGGGUGAGGAAUACAUCGGAAUCUACUUUUUCGUGGGGGAUAACGUAGGGAAACUUACGCUAAUACCGCAUACGACCUACGGGUGAAAGCAGGGGAUCUUCGGACCUUGCGCGAUUGAAUGAGCCGAUGUCGGAUUAGCUAGUUGGCGGGGUAAAGGCCCACCAAGGCGACGAUCCGUAGCUGGUCUGAGAGGAUGAUCAGCCACACUGGAACUGAGACACGGUCCAGACUCCUACGGGAGGCAGCAGUGGGGAAUAUUAGACAGUGGGCGCAAGCCUGAUCCAGCCAUACCGCGUGGGUGAAGAAGGCCUUCGGGUUGUAAAGCCCUUUUGUGGGGAAAGAAAAGCAGCAGGUUAAUACCCCGCUGUUCUGACGGUACCCAAAGAAUAAGCACCGGCUAACUUCGUG